AACGUAGGGGACGAGCGUUAUCCGGAUUUACUGGGCGUAAAGCGCAUGUAGGCGGCGCGGUAAGUUGGAUGUGAAAGCUCCCGGCUUAACUGGGAGAGGUCGUACAAAACUACCGAGCUUGAGGUUGGAAGAGGAGAGCGGAAUUCCCGGUGUAGUGGUGGAAUGCGUAGAUAUCCGAAGGAACACCGGUGGCGAAAGCGGCUUACUGGGUCUUUUCUGACGCUGAGGCACGAAAGCUAGGGUAGCGAACGGG
rnacentral:rRNA from 1 species